rnacentral:rRNA from 1 species
GAUGAACGCUAGCUACAGGCUUAACACAUGCAAGUCGAGGGGAAACGACAUCGAAAGCUUGCUUUUGAUGGGCGUCGACCGGCGCACGGGUGAGUAACGCGUAUCCAACCUGCCCACCACUUGGGGAUAACCUUGCGAAAGUAAGACUAAUACCCAAUGAUAUCCCACGAAGGCAUCCGAAUGGGAUUAAAGAUUUAUCGGUGAUGGAUGGGGAUGCGUCUGAUUAGCUUGUUGGCGGGGUAACGGCCCACCAAGGCGACGAUCAGUAGGGGUUCUGAGAGGAAGGUCCCCCCACAUUGGAACUGAGACACGGUCCAAACUCCUACGGGAGGCAGCAGUGAGGAAUAUUGGUCAAUGGGCGAGAGCCUGAACCAGCCAAGUAGCGUGCAGGAAGACGGCCCUAUGGGUUGUAAACUGCUUUUAUAAGGGAAUAAAGUGGGUCACGUGUGACUUUUUGCAUGUACCUUAUGAAUAAGGACCGGCUAAUUCCGUG